rnacentral:rRNA from 1 species
AGUGGGGAAUAUUGCACAAUGGGCGCAAGCUGAUGCAGCCAUGCCGCGUGUAUGAAGAAGGCCUUCGGGUUGUAAAGUACUUUCAGCAGUGAGGAAGGUGGAUAUGUUAAUAGCAUAUUCAUUUGACGUUAGCUGCAGAAGAAGCACCGGCUAACUCCGUGCCAGCAGCCGCGGUAAUACGGAGGGUGCGAGCGUUAAUCGGAAUUACUGGGCGUAAAGCGCAUGCAGGUGGUUUGUUAAGUCAGAUGUGAAAGCCCGGGGCUCAACCUCGGAAUUGCAUUUGAAAACUGGCAAACUAGAGUACUGUAGAGGGGGUAGAAUUUCAGGUGUAGCGGUGAAAUGCGUAGAGAUCUGAAGGAAUACCGGUGGCGAAGGCGGCCCCCUGGACAGAUACUGACACUCAGAUGCGAAAGCGUGGGGAGCAAACAGGAUUAGAUACCCUGGUAG